CGGCUCAGUGCCCCGCCCUUCCUGGAGCACGGCCUGCGCAUGCGCGCGCCCCAGGGCCCAGCCCUGUUCCUGCUCCGGCUCCUGCGGGGAUGGAUGCUUCACGCAGUAAGCGACCUAAGUCGCGGAAGCGUAGACACCCGGCUUUUCCCGCGUGCUCUAUCGGGCUCCCCUGGACACGGAGGGUGGAGCAGAAAGAGCAGAGGGGCCGGUGGGAGCCAUGGGGAGUCCGCCUAGCUCCAGAGGACACCUUACCUGGAUCCGCCUUUGUAGCCUCCUCCUGGCUCUGGGGGCUGUCCUGUGGGGUCCGAGUAGCUGAAAGACAGCCCCUCCAUGUGAGGAAGCCCCCAACUGGGGAAAACCCCCUCGUGGACUCAUUCCUGUCCCUGCAUGUGGCCUUCACCUGACUGUCUGCAUUGAGGCAUCCUCUGCCAAGAGCAAUUUCAAAGUGGCAGGAAAGUGCUGCUUUCAACAUCUGCCACAUUUGCAAGAAGAGCAAAGGUGGCCCAUUUGAGACCACCCUUGAACUAAACCAUCCAGUGAGCCCCUGAGGUCGGGACAGAAGUGGCCAUGACCUUCCUCAAGCAGGGACUGUGGUGGAGCCCACCUUAUCCAGCACAAGGUGGCCUGCUGACUUCUGGUGACAGUGAUGCCAACUUCCUGGCUGUCCAAGGUUCAAAUCUUGGUCUUAAUCCUCCUGGCCUUCUCUCAUCAAUGGCCAGAGCCACCCUAGCUAACAAGGUGCCCAGGGACUCCGGGGUGGGAGAAGUCCAGCUUCUUCUUAGCUGAGGACAUUUGAGUCUCGUCACAGCCCCCAAAAGAAUACUCAUUUUUGUAGCUGGAGGGCCUGGCCUCUGUCUAUCUUUGCUUUUCCAGAAGCUGACAAGUACCUGCCGGAAAAACUGCCUCUUUUCCCUCCCGUGCUUGGAGCAGGCAUUGCUGACAGAUCACAGCUGCUGGGCCCAAAGGUCCCUUUGCACGCGGGACUUCAGGAAGUUGCUGCUGACCUAUGGGAGUUGGUGCAGAAAGAUGAAAUUUGUUAUCCUUGGCUGUAUCAACUCUCUCUCCUCUCCUUGGUGGUGAUAGUUUUGUUCUUAAAAGCCUCUUGUGAGAGAAUUUGUGGAUGAAGAACCUGUAAGAUCACAAGUGAAACAAUUUAUUGAUGUCAAUAGAUUUAUACACGUUCAUUAAGAAUCAAAACUAAACUAAAACAUCAGUCUGACUAAAGAGACCACCACAGAUAUUUCAUAUGCUGUACAUCAGUAACAAAGGGUACCAAAUAGUUAAUAUCCAUGUACUAGUCACAUGAGAAAUGUUUUAGGGUCAUUGACCAGUGUAGUCAGUACAGUGGUCCCAUGGUAUUUGUGGGGGAUUGGUUCCAGGAAUCUCUUGGACACCAACUCCGUGGAUGAUCAGACAAUAUAAAAUGUGGGUCAGGUGCGGUGGCUCAUACCUGUAAUCCCAGCAUUUUGCGAGAAUCACUUGAGGCCAGUUCAAGAUCAGCCUGUGCAACAUAGCAAGACUCCACCUCUAAAAAAAAAAAAAAAAAAAAAAAUUAGCCCAGUGCAGCGGUGUGCACCUGUAGUCCCAGCUUCUCAUGAGGUUGAGGUGAAAAGAUCACUUGGGCCCAGGAGUUUGAGGCUGCAGUGAGCUGUGACUGCCACUGCACUCCAGCCUGAGUGACAAAGCAAGUCCCUGUCUCUUAAAAAAUAAAAUAAAAUAAUAGCAUUUGAAUGUAACCUACACACAUCUCCCAUAUACUUUAAAUCAUCUGUAGAUUGCUUAUAAUACCUAAUACACUGUAAAUGCUA
rnacentral:lncRNA from 1 species